rnacentral:sRNA from 1 species
GGAGGAGGAGGAGGAGGAGGACGACGACGACGACGACGACGACGACGACGACGACGACGACGACGACGACGACGACGACGACGACGACGACGACGACGACGACGACGACGACGACGACGACGACGACGACGACGACGACGACGACGACGACGACGACGACGACGACGACGACGACGACGACGACGACG